UCAUUCUGUGUCCAGAGUUUAAUUUUUUACGAGUUCUCUAUGUUAUAAUUUUAUUGAAUUCUCAUUUCAGUCCCUUAUUACCAACCUCAGCAGCGUUUAGCCCAUAAUGUGUCCAUAACCUUGCCGAGGGGUGGUUGGUCUCUGCAGGGUCAUGCUGUGCUCACUGCAGAGGUGGAAUGGGCCUCUGUCCUUGCUGGAAAGAACUCUUCUUGGUAGAUCUAAACUGAAAAUGGCACUUCCAUUCAGUAGAACAUGGGAGCCUUAGUGAAACCAUUAUAAUCUCCUGGGAAACAGAGGCUUAAGGAUUUUAAUCACUUUAUUUCUUGAAUUAUGUGGUUCGUGCCUGUAUGCAUAUAUCAUGAACUCAAUCUUUUUCAACUAAAUUUUACAGCAUUUUAAAAGUCCUGUAUUUAAGAAACCCUUCAAAUAUUGUUGGAAAUUAAAACCCUGGACCAAGUGUACUCCACCUAACUAUUGCAGCCACCGGGGGCUAGCCUGGCCAGUGCGAGGCGGUAUUCUCAGAGGAGAGACUGAGCGGGGUGACCCCUUCAGUCCAUCACACAAUCCGAGGCGGAGAAGAGUCGUUCCUGCGACAUUCACUGCCACCUGUUGAGUAGAGGGCAGUUCACUCUCAGUGAUUUAAAGCAAGAGGUAUCUGCUGCUGUGAGCUCCCGGAAAGUUGUCCAGGUGUGUGCACUGAUGUGGACGCUUUCCCGGUUAACUCUGGUUCAGGACUUAACCUGUUAACCAGUCCUCGUUGUGGUCCUCUGACCUUGCUUCUAAGGGUCACCAACGGGGAGGACUCUUUUCAGGAUCUACAUCAUAAUCACAAUCUCCCUGGAGGUGCUAGGAGAGAAAUUCCAGCUGGUUUGGCAAAGGAUAUUCACCAAAUACACAGAUCUAACUCAUCAGUUAUUUCUCCGACCACACUGAUGUCACCUGAGGUAAAAUGUUUCAUCAUUACCACAGAAACAGCAGCUUCAGUCUGCUGAAGGAACUGUGCUCCCCUCCACUGGGGGAGCCUCAUUCACCCCAGUAUUUCCAGGACUCCAGAUGAUACCAAAUAAAAUAGGUUGGUAAGCACAAGGCUUUUCAUUAUGCAAUGAGAGGAUUAUUUACUGAAUUUUCAAUUUAGCUUUUAAAAGAAGUCUGUGCAUUGCCUUUGCAUGGAAAACGGUGUGCGCCUGGUGAUAGGGAAGUUGAGUGACAUCUGUGCCGUCCCAGGGAAGACGCAGGAGCUAACGCUGGGUGAACACUUAGAAAGCACCAGAAGCUGGACUUUUCUGCUCCCGCAGUCCUCCUCGGAGUCCUGUCAAGCAGAUAUUUUCAGAAGAGUCAGGAGGGAUUUCUGAGCUAGUUUAGCAGGUAAUUUGCCAGCACAGUGUGUGCUGGGCUGACCCCCCGAAGCCCACUGUGUGCCCACAACACACUCCAAAGCAAGUGAGGAACCUGACCGAAGGCCAAUACUUACACUUCAAACUUCUGGAAGAGUGACCAUCUAAUAAACUCUCUGUGACAGUCAGAUUUAAAAUGUGCCCAUUUUCAGGCAGAGUGAUGGGACUUCUGGUGUGGAAGAUACAUCAGUGUCCAAGCUCUCGGAUCAGCCGUUCUAACUAUGUGGUGGAGAAGGGGCAAGCAGCUGGCUGCCUGGUUGACCAGUUCUCCUGACCGCUGUCUGUCUGUCUGUCUGUCUGUCUGUCUCUCUCUCCCCCCUAACUGACAGGCUGUCUGAGUCAGUUACUUUGUUGGAGAGGUUUUUCAGGAAAUUCUGUGGCCUCGUUUUAACUUUCCUAGAAGCAGUGAGGUAAAACCACAUUUAAACAAAAUUAAGACUGACCCGCAAAAGGAAGUGGCCUGUGAUAUUGGGAACCUUUUGUGGGUAGCUGUUAAAACUUAUUGCGAUCUUCCAAAUGUCAGCAGCUCUGACAGCACACAACACCGAGUCUCAAAAGCCCUAACCAACUCAAUGUGACCUUGAAUUAAUUUGGUAACCAAAUAAGCAGGAAAUUGAGAAUACUGAAAUUGAGGAGAGAGCAUUUAGAAAAUGCAUAUUUUGCACUAUAGAUGACAAAGACAAAAUUCAAAAGGUGUUUAGUGACUCUAGUGUUUUUUAAAAAGUAUUUUUAAUUCUAAUUGAAACCCUUGAUGAAGUUUCUGAAUUGUGGAUAAUAUUGAAGAAAUAGUCUGAGUAUUUUGGAUGAGGAAAAAUAUUUUAUCUUUUUUACGAAAGUUGACUAUUAGUGAAGUGUAAAAUGUAAAGCAAACACCUUAUGAUACAUGAACAAUGGCUGGAGAAUUUAAUUUACUUCCAUUAAAUAUAGAAUAUUUCUAUCAACUCAGAAGAAUACGUUUUAAGUUCCAGUUCUUUUUAAGAGUGUGCGGUCCUUGGCAAACUGCUUAAUUUUCCUAUACCUUGUCUCUAUUUUCUCCUCAAUUGAGAAAUAAAAACUCACUCACUAACAGAGCAUUUUCCUAGGCACUGGAAAUGCAAAGUUGAACAAGACUUGUCCCCCCUCAAGGAGCGUCAAUGAAGCGGGGCGUGUGAGCAAAUGCAAUAAGGGUGUGGACAAGGUAGAGCAGGUGGAUGCCAAAUUUAAAUACCCACAGAAAUGAUGGAGUGCCAAGAUGUAAACUUAACAAGAAAUAUGCAAAUCACAUGUGGGAAAACUUUAAAACACUCCUAAAACAACAAAAUUAGACUUGAGCAAAUGGAAAGACAUCCCUCAUCCUUGCUUUGGACAAGUGAAUGUCACAAGGAUGCCAAUUUUCCUUAUGUGAAUAUAAGAAUUUAACAUAAUCCCAAUAAAAAAUAGUAAGUCUUUUUUCUGGAGAUAGUCAAGUUGGUUUUAAAGUUUACAUGUGAAAAUAAACAAAAAGAACAGCUGGGAAACCUGCCAGGAAGGCAGUGAGAAGAAUUGCUAGUCCUGCCAAAUUUGAAACAUACAGUCAAGUCUCAUGAUCCAGUUGGUGUGGUAUGGGAAGGUGCACAGACAGACAGACCCCGGACACACAGAAAGUCCAGAUGCAGAUCCAACUGCGAGAGGAGAUGUAACACAGAGCAAGUCAGGGAAGACUCAUUUUCUAGUCCGGGGGAGAGAGCUGGAGAGCCCUCAGAAGCAGCAGCUGGAUCCACAUCCCACACCUCGUGCUUUGAAUAGACGCCAUGUGGGUCAGAAUUCCAAUGUAAAAAUCAUUCUCUAUGAGUACUAAAUUUUUUUAAAAGGAUAAAUUUCCUUAUAAUCUGGGAGUAGGGAAAGCCCCAUAAAUUCAACUACAUAAAAAUACAGGUGUUUUUGAACAGAAGAAAACAUUGUAGAAAACCUCAAAAAACAAUGACAACUGGGAGAAAAUGUUUGUAACAUAUCACAUAAAAAGGGCUCAUCUCCCUAAUAUGUAAAGAACUCUCAAGAACUUGGAAAGAAAUAAAAAGAAAAACUAUAACAAUGGGCAAAACAAACAAGUUACAUAUAUGGUUAUAAAAACUGAUCCUCAAAUAAAGAGGAAAAUGCUCAUCUUCACCCAUAAUAGAAGAAAGGACCACCCUCUUAACCUUCCUGAAGCUUUAGAGUGGGGUCACUACCUGGCAGGCUAGUCACCCUCAGUUUUUAUUUUUCAGAAAAAAUAGUUAAUCAACCUAAAGAAGCUUGCCUUCUCUGUGAGGGUUCUAACCCGAAUCUUGCUAGGCCAGUCUUUUUAAGUCUUUGUGACUUCCAGGAGUGUUUCCUCAUAAAGUCUUCAAAAUGUUCCCAUUUUAUUUAUUUCUAGGUACUUAACUUUUUUGGUGGCUUUUUAAAAUUGAGGUGUUCUUUUCAUUACAUAUUCUAACUGGUUGUGUUUUGUAAAUAUGAAACCUAUUAAUUUCUAAAUACAAGUUUGGAACCUCA